GACGAACGCUGGCGGCGUGCCUAAUACAUGCAAGUUGAGCGCUGAAGGUUGGUACUUGUACCAACUGGAUGAGCAGCGAACGGGUGAGUAACGCGUGGGGAAUCUGCCUUUGAGCGGGGGACAACAUUUGGAAACGAAUGCUAAUACCGCAUAAAAACUUUAAACACAAGUUUUAAGUUUGAAAGAUGCAAUUGCAUCACUCAAAGAUGAUCCCGCGUUGUAUUAGCUAGUUGGUGAGGUAAAGGCUCACCAAGGCGAUGAUACAUAGCCGACCUGAGAGGGUGAUCGGCCACAUUGGGACUGAGACACGGCCCAAACUCCUACGGGAGGCAGCAGUAGGGAAUCUUCGGCAAUGGACGAAAGUCUGACCGAGCAACGCCGCGUGAGUGAAGAAGGUUUUCGGAUCGUAUAACUCUGUUGGUAGAGAAGAACGUUGGUGAGAGUGGAAAGCUCAUCAAGUGACGGUAACUACCCAGAAAGGGACGGCUAACUACGUG
rnacentral:rRNA from 1 species